rnacentral:rRNA from 1 species
UGUGCCCUACGGGGGGCAGCAGUGGGGAAUAUUGCACGAUGGGGGAAACCCUGAUGCAGCGACGCCGCGUGAGUGAAGAAGUAUUUCGGUAUGUAAAGCUCUAUCAGCAGGGAAGAAAAUGACGGUACCUGACUAAGAAGCCCCGGCUAACUACGUGCCAGCAGCCGCGGUAAUACGUAGGGGGCAAGCGUUAUCCGGAUUUAUUGGGUUUAAAGGGUGCGCAGGCGGCGAGUUAAGUCAGCGGUAAAAUUUCGGGGCUCAACCCCGACGAGCCGUUGAAACUGGCUUGCUAGAGUGGGCGAGAA